rnacentral:lncRNA from 1 species
AAAAGACUGGAGGAGCUGCUGGACAGCGACCGUUUCUUCAGGGACGACUUCGCUGUUGUUCUCCAGCCGUUCCUCAAACACGCCGACCCUCCCCGCCUCCCGAACGGGAAGAUCGACAUGACCUUCUUCACUCACGACUGCUUCCACUUCACCAUUAAGGGACACGAGGAGCUGGCCAAGGGACUGUGGAACAACAUGUUUCAGCCUGAGGGAGGGAAGAUGAUCGUGAGCAGUUUCUCCGACCCCAUCAGUCUCAUCUGUCCACCGAGGGAGCACCCGUACAUCUUCACACGACCAAUUGCAGCCAGGUCUGGCCGGCCUCUGCCUCAGUCAUCAGUCGUCUUGCUGCUCUCGCUACUUGUGGGUUUUGGACGUCUUGGACUUGUGUGACAUCCACUUGGCUCUUGUCAUGUGCACGUCUCUGCUCCACUGUCCAGGUGAUCGCCCACAGUGGCUCACAUGCAGAGGAGAGUCAGUGGGCCGCUCUUUGCAACAUUGCAUGUCUGUGGCCCCGAAAACCAGCACAGAGAAACGACUGCAGUGUUUGAGAUCUGGAAAAAGUCCCUGUAGAUACUGUGCCAGUGAAUCCUGCAUCCUAAAUAUUUAAUUCUUAGACGCAGAUGGAGUGAAGAGUUUUUACUUGUUGUUGUUCAGCGGCUUUUUAGUAGAAAGUUUUCUAUUUUGCUUUUUAAAUUUGAAUCUAACAUGACUGCACCCGGAUGAUUUACAGUAUCGCUUAAACAAACUGCGGGAACGGGAGAAUGAUCCAUGUUUCAUUCCACACUUAUAAUCAUAAUAAUCUACUGCAGGUGUCUCGCCCGGUGCAGAUUUAACUUUACCGUAUCACUCGAUAAAUAUUAAAUGCAGAUGUUGUAAUCAGUCAAAAAGAACAAGUUAUGAUUUUCUUGCAUUGUUCACGUGACAUUUAUACAUUCAUACAUAAAACAUUAAACUAAUUCGACUUUGCCCAAAAGUGAAGUGAGUGUAUGUUUAAUCCAUGAAAGUGUUUUCUUGGAUACUUACUCUCUGUCUCAGUAGCAAGACAGAAACCUUUGUGAUAUUGCCAAGGUGCAUUAUGUUCAAUUACUUUGUUGCACUGGCGAUGGAAGCCUUAGAAGCUUUAAGACAGAAGUGACACAUUGCAUCAAUCAUCACAUUCACAUGUAUUGAAAUAGGAGGUUGACUUAGUUCACCUCGUUUACUGUAACACACACAGUCUGUAUGUGUGAACGCACAGAGGGCGAAGGGCCCGGAUCAGCUCAACGAAAAGCAGUUUUAAAAAGUCGAAAAGAGUUUGUCGUCCGUCUUACCCUCCGCAGACCUUCCGGGGAGAGCUGUGACUUUUCAAACCCGCAGACGGUUUAGUCACGCGGCUGUUCCUCAGGUCUGCAGGCUGCUGCUGGCCCACUUCUGCUCCUCGGUCCCUCCGCGACCUGCGUUUGUACGCACUGAGCAAAGGGAGAGGCAAAGUCAGACGCCGCAGUGAGAGAAACACACGCUGAAUGUUGUGCCUGAAUGCUGAGCAGCGAGUCGU